rnacentral:rRNA from 1 species
UACGAAGGGGGCUAGCGUUGUUCGGAAUCACUGGGCGUAAAGGGCGCGUAGGCGGCCGAUCAAGUCGGGGGUGAAAGCCUGUGGCUCAACCACAGAAUUGCCUUCGAUACUGUUUGGCUUGAGACCGGAAGAGGUAAGUGGAACUGCGAGUGUAGAGGUGAAAUUCGUAGAUAUUCGCAAGAACACCAGUGGCGAAGGCGGCUUACUGGUCCGGUUCUGACGCUGAGGCGCGAAAGCGUGGGGAGCAAACGGG